UACGUAGGUGGCAAGCGUUGUUCGGAAUUAUUGGGCGUAAAGGGCGCGUAGGCGGACCUGCAAGUCGGGGGUGAAAGCCCGAGGCUCAACCUCGGAACUGCCUUCGAUACUGCGGGUCUCGAGUCCGGGAGAGGUGAGUGGAAUUCCUAGUGUAGAGGUGAAAUUCGUAGAUAUUAGGAAGAACACCAGUGGCGAAGGCGGCUCACUGGCCCGGUACUGACGCUGAGGCGCGAAAGCGUGGGGAGCAAACAGG
rnacentral:rRNA from 1 species